UACCAUAACAGUCAAGGUGCAUGUGGAGAUUUUUGUUGCAAUGUGCCUUGGAAGAUUAAGAAAGUGCAUGACGUUUAGAGGAGAACUCGUGCACAGCUGCACAGUUUGAACUGUCCAGAGGGAGGAAGAGCAGAUCAGCAGUGCACAGCUGUCCGCACACCGACGUGGUGGAGGACAGGUUACUUGUGAGCGUAAAGGGAUGGAAAACAGUAGCAUGCACAGAGGGCAAAAACUCUGGAGGAGUGUUGUCUGGGAAAUGAACUGUCUGAAUUGAUGGAAACAGGAAAUGCAGAUGGAGCAGCUGUCAGCGAGUUCUGACUUCCCGCUGUCAGACAGCGGUGAUGGAGAAGCUGAAGCACACCGUCCUGAGCAGACCUGAGGGCAGCGGUGCAGAAUGUUGAGUGAUCAGAUCGCUGCAGGAUUCUUGUCUCAGAAACAAAGAGCUGCAGAAAGUUGUGGGACGGGACGCCUUCCUGCAGAACACGCCUUAGUGUCACUGUCGUCAAACAUGUUGGGCUCAGUUUGUCACAGAGAGCCGCCAGUUCUGAAACGCUCCACUACUCUGUAAUUACCUCAGGUAGUAUUAGUGUUAGUUAAUCUGUUUACUUAUUGAAGCGCUUCUGACUGGAAAACUAUCCUUUAACAUCCAUUGCAUAGAACCACUUGUUAAAGGAAAUAUAUCUGAACUUAUUUUGUCUGGUUAAGAAAAAUGCUUUUUACUCAAUGUCAAGAGUUAAAAGAUGUCAUUUGAUAUAACAAUUGAUUGGAAAUCAAUAGUAGGGUAGGAAGAAGCAGCAA